rnacentral:lncRNA from 1 species
GUUGUCUCUUAACAUCGUCAAAAGAUGCGAAGGACUACCUUUGGCAAUUGUUUCCAUAGCUGGUCUGCUGUCAACCAAAGCUAAAGUUGUGUCUGAAUGGCAGAAGUUAUACAAUAGCUUAAGUUCAGAGUUAGAAAGCAAUCCCCACCUUACAAGCCUCACAAGAAUCAUAUCCCUCAGCUAUCACCAUCUGCCGUAUUACCUCAAAUCGUGUGUAUUAUACUUUGGCAUCUUUCCCGAGGAUUACUCAGUUAGUUGCAUAAGAUUAGUUCGGUUGUGGAUCGCUGAAGGUUUUGUGAAACCGAAGAGGGGCAAGACACUAGAAGAGGUUGGAGAGGAAUACUUGAUGGAGCUAAUUCACAGAAGCCUGGUUCAAGUUUCAGAAGUUUACAUUGAUGGAAAAGCUCGAGGUUGUAGAGUUCAUGAUCUAUUGCAUGACGUCCUCCUUAAGAAGGGGUUGGAUUCGAGCUUCUGUCAUGUGUUAUCAAAAGACGAGUCAACUUUUAAACCAACAACUCGACGUCUCUCAAUGGACAUCAGUCCUUCUGAGGCCGUGGGAAGCUUUACACAAUCUCAUAUUCGUUCUGUAUUUACUUUCAACCUAGAAGAAUGGCCUGGGUCUUUUCUCGAUACAUUGAGUGGAAACAUUAAACUUCUGAAAGUAUUGGAUUUCACAGAUGCUCCAAUCAAUCAACUUCCGAAAUAUGUGGGGGAUUUGUAUCUCUUGACGUAUUUAAGCUUGAGGAAUACAAGGGUGGAGUUGCUUCCAGACUUCAUAGGCAAUCUACAAAACUUGGAAACCUUGGAUCUAAAACAGUCUUUGGUGUAUGAAAUACCAGCCAAGAUCAAUAAGCUUGUUAAGCUGCGGCAUCUUUUGGCCUACCAUCGUGACUACAACUACGACGUGGGUUUGUAUUGGAAUUUGGAAAGAGGAGUGAAGAUACAUGAAGGUAUUGGAUGCUUACAAGCUUUGCAAAAUUGUCCUAUGUGGAGGCGAAUCAUGGAGGGAUCAGGUUAAUCAAAGAAUUGGGAAAGUUACGACAGCUACGGAAGUUAGGCCUAAAAAACUUGAAAAGUGAAGAUGGAAGGGCUGUGUGUGCUUCUAUUGAAAAGAUGAACCACCUUGAAUCUCUAAUUUUAACUGCAAUAAAUGAAGAUGAAGUCCUUGAUCUAGAAUCCAUUUCAACUCCACCACAAUUUAUUCGUGCUCUCUUCUUGAUAGGGCGUUUAGAGCAGUUGCCAGGUUGGAUUUCAAAUCUUCAACACCUCGUCAGAUUGGUGAUUUGUUGGUCAAGGUUGAGAGAUUCCCCACUAAAAGCCCUUCAAAAUCUACCUAAUCUGUUGGAGCUAACUUUGGAUAUCAAUGCAUAUGAUGGUGUGCAGCUGCAUUUUGAGGAAGGAGGAUUUCAUAAACUUAGAAAGCUACAUCUCAGGGAAAUGAUGGGACUAAAUUCGUUGAUCAUAGACGAUGGUGUCAUGCCUCUUCUCCAAGAGUUUCGCAUUGGGCCUUCCCCACAAAUGAAUGAGGUACCCUCUGGCAUCCACCAUCUCCGGAAUCUGACAUAUCUUCAUUUCUAUGACAUGCCAAAGGAGUUUGCGCGACAGAUGGAUCCAAAAAAUGGCCAACAUUAUUGGAUUGUUGAACAUAUACAAAAUGUUCGUUUUAGUUACAAGGUCGGACCAAGAUGGCGUGUAUAUGAAAUUCACGCCCUGCGUGAUUCCAACUUUUCUCUUUGGUGGAAUGCUUGAUUCCAACUUGUGAAACCAAGCAUGGGAAUGGGAUAUGCUUUGGUUAAGAGUUGGUUGUUAGCUCUGGUAUCCUAGUUUCUCUUGCAGGUUGACUGGGAGGGGCUCUUUCUCUUCUGUUUUCUUUGUGUCGUCCAAUCGUAUUCCUAGCAUUUUCCUUGUAAUUUUAUUGGUGGUUGCAAUAAAAAUAUCCUAUCCAAUUGAUUUUCUCUAGGAAAAUGAUAAACCGUAUGCUCCUUUUAACCUCACUUUGAUAAUUGAAGUUAAAAUAUUAAAUUUUUACUAUUUUUGAUCUUACCAAUUCUUUACUAUUUUAUAUUCUUUAUAUUAAUUUGUAAUCUCUAACAUAUUUUGUUAAUCAAAGGGUAGAUUUUGUGGAUUAUAGAAAUUUCAUGAAUCAUGAUUGUUUUUUUUUAUUUGCCAAAAAAUUCAUGAAUCAUGAUUGAGCAUUCUCCUUUUGUAUGUCACACAUAUUGAUCCAGCCACAUAUUUUUUGUAUGCACAAUAAUGAAAAUGUGUUAAGCGUUUAACGGUGUAAAUUCAAACUCCGUCGAUAACUAACGUAACAAAAUUUAUCGACAGACAAAAAAAAUAAAAAUUAGGUACAAGAUGUAAAGGUGAGGGCCCACAAAUGCAAGCGUUGGGGAUAGCGGAGUGGAUCCCACGAUUUCAAAAUUAUGGACAGGAGGAACAUUUCUCUCAAACUUGGGCGCUAAAAAAAGUCGUCGUCGUUUUUCCUUUUCUGGCUGAGUUUGCCUUCUUAAACCAACCCGACAUUCUCGGCCCAAACAAAUGUUCAAACCUUUCCGUUACUUCCCUUCACAAAUUUCCAAUUAGGGUUUCACAUUAACCUUGAUCAGAACUUCUACGUACAUAUAUAUACAUAUAUAUAUUUAUAUAUAAUCUCUCUCUCCCUCUGUUUCUGAAUUUUGAUUUCCCGGGAAGGUUUCAAACCCGAUCGUUUCUUCGAAAGUCUCUGAAAGCUUUUCGACAAAACAAAAAUCCAAAAUCUUUGUGAUAUCAAAAAGGAAAUAAAUUUCAAAACGCGCAUGGAAUUGGCUGGUUCAUUUGCCUGAAAGUUGGUUCAGAUAGAGAUGGAGGGAGGGGCGAGAGAGAUGGACGAAGAAUUGCUGGAGUUCGCGAGGGAGGCUUUCGAGGGGGAUGAAAUUGACAUGGACUACGAAUUGAUGCGCCAAAGGUUCUACGAUUUCACUAGGCCGGAAUCCUAUUGGGAGGCGGAGGAGGCGGAGGAAUGGUUCCGGUCCGCCGGAGGCUAUCACCCCACGCGUAAGCGAUUUCCAGAACAUUUGUUUGUUGGUUUCUUAUCAUUGAUAGACAUAUAUUGUGUGGCUGAGAUACUGCCACUUGUAUGCAGAUUAGAGAGUUAGUUAGAAAGUUAGUUAGGUAGUUUGUUUAGAAUAUUGAAAAGGGUAUAAAUACUGAUGUAUGUGGGAUUGCUUAGUAAGUAAGAAAAGUAAUAUACUGGAAGUGUUUGGUUUCUACUUCUCUCUCUAAAUUGCUUGAAUCUCUUCUUCUUCUCACUAUAUUUCUGUAGUUUAAUAUGGUAUCACUCGCCAUUAGAGCUUGAUCAGCUUCUUCGAUCCGAGUCUUCCGCAGCUCCAACACUUCGUCUUCCUCUGAAUUCUUGCUUCUUGUACGCAUUUCUUGAUUGCUUUGACUUCGUCUUCUCUGCUUUCUAGGGUUUAUUGUUUCUGGGUGCUCUGCAACUACGAUCUGGUUGCGUCUUCGUCUUCUUCUAAUAUUGCACUCCAGGUGUUUGAUCCAUUGUUUCAGUGAGUUUCGGCAACGAUGGUAACAGCUUCUCAACUUCAGCUUCUUCAAUCUCCGAUCACUGCUCUAGUUUCGUCGAUUUCUACAUCUGUGAAUGUGAAGUUGGAUGAUUCGAAUUAUCUCACUUGGCAUUUUCAAAUGCAAUUACUGCUUGAGAGUAAUGGAAUUCUAGGGUUUGUCGACGGCACGCAUCCCUGUCCUCCUCGACAUUCCUCACCAUCUGGAGAUUCUGGUGUUAAUUCCUCAAAUUCAACAACUUCUUCUGCUAGUGAUGAGUAUUUGAUUUGGAUAAUGCAUGAUAAAGCCCUGAUGCAGUUACUGACUGCUUCUUUGAGUCCAAUGGCUCUGUCGUGUGCUAUUGGUAGUACAAGCUCUCGGGAUCUCUGGAUUCGAUUGCAAGAACAAUUCUCCACAGUCUCCAAGACUAGCAUAUUUCAGAUGAAGUCUAAUCUUCAAACCAUUAAAAAGGGAUCUGAUUCUGUUGCUCAAUAUUUACAGAAAAUCAAAGAGGCCAGAGAUUAUCUUUCAGCUGCUGGGGUGUAUUUUGUUGAUGAAGAUAUUGUCAUUCUUGCGUUGAAUGGUUUGCCACCAGAGUAUAAUACAUUCAGAACAGUAAUAAGGGGACGUGAGAAUGUUAUAUCUCUGAAGGAGUUUAGGACACAAUUACUUGCUGAAGAAGCUAUUCUGGAAUCCACUGUUAAUGCACCUUUUAUGACUGCAAUGGUUGCUCAUAAUUUACCUCCGAGAGCACCUACUCAAUCCAAUUUUGUGGCUGGUGGUUUCAAGCAAUUCAAUGCUCCCAAAAACAAGGGGAAGGGCCGGUUUCAUCAAAAUAACAGGACUUUUUCAUCCAAGCCGUAUCUUCCUACUCAAACUCAUGUUCUCCAAAAUCCAAGUCCUGGUGUUCUUGGUUCUUUUCCUCAUCAGCAGCACUCCCCUCCUUCUGCUCCACAUCUCCUCUUAUGUCAACUUUGCAAUUGUGGUGGUCAUUCUGCGCCUUUCUGUCCAUCCAAUUCUUCUGCGAAAUCCCGAUGUCAGAUUUGUGGCAGGUUUAAUCACAGUACAUGGUUCUGUUUUUACAAUGACAAGGGUCCCAACUAUAUUGGUGCUGGCAAUGGUUCUUAUCCACAACCAGGGCAUCCAUAUUCUCAGCAGGCUUCUUAUUCACAGCAAGGGUAUUCAUCACAGUUUCCUGCUCCACAACAAAUUCAGUCUCAGGCACCAAUGCAGGCUUUUCAUACUAUGGUGCCACAACCCUCUCCUCCAGCAGCAUCUUCAUCUCCUUCCCAAGUUUGGAUCACUGAUUUCGGGGCAACGAAUCAUAUGACUGCUGAUCUUUCCAAUCUGUCUCUAGCUUUACCCUAUCCCACUAAUGAAGUCAUACAAACUGCCAAUGGUGAAGGUUUGCCUGUAUCUCACAUUGGUAGUACUGUUAUAAAACCAUCUCUCCAUCCUAUAAAAUUGAAUUCUGUGUUAUAUGUUCCCAAAUUAACACAGAAUCUUCUAUCUGUCCAUCGCAUAUGUUUGGAUAAUAAUUGUUGGCUUAUCUUUGAUGCCUUCUGUUUUUGGAUCCAGGACAAGGCCACAGGGAGGGUACUCUAUAAAAGAUUGUGCAGUAAUGGACUCUACCCACUCUCAUCUCUAGCCAAUGUGUCACCUGCUGGUUCUCAAAGCAUUGCUUCAAAUAAAGCCCUCCUUGGUCAGUUGGUUACUUCUUCUACUACCUGGCACAAUAGAUUAGGACAUCCAUCUAAUUCAGUUGUCUCUCUUAUGUUGCAUAAGUCCAAAGUUGCUUUUGCAAAAGACCCAAAUCCUGUUCUGUGUCCUAGUUGUCUUGAGGGUAAAUUCUGUAAACUUCCAUUUGCAUUAAGUGUCAAUAAAUCUGUAACUCCUUUUGAUGUAGUGCAUAGUGAUCUUUGGGGUCCUGCACCUUGUAAAUCUGUGGAUGGAUAUCGGUACUAUGUCACCUUCAUUGAUGAAUGUACCCGGUAUUCCUGGAUUUUCCCAUUGAUGAAUAAAUCCGAUCUUUGUGCCACUUUUAUUGCUUUUCAUGCUUAUGUUCUCACUCAAUUCUCUGCAAACAUUAAAAUUUUGCAAAGUGAUGGUGGUGGUGAGUACAUUAGCAAGUCACUUCAAUCUUUUCUUCUCCAAAAGGGCAUUUCUCAUCAAAAAUCCUGUCCUUAUACCCCUGAACAAAAUGGGAUGGCUGAACGUAAACACAGACACGUUAUUGAAACCACAAUUACUUUGUUGCAAACAGCUAAACUGCCUUCCCAGUUUUUGGUCCUUUGCAUGUCAAACUGCCAUUUAUCUCAUUAAUAGAAUGCCUACUCCCAUUCUCCAUAACCAGUCUCCUUUUGAAGCCUUAUAUGGUGCUGUUCCAGUGAUUCAUCACUUGCGAACGUUUGGUUGUGCUUGUUAUCAUUUCUUAAGACCUUACAAUGCUACCAAACUUCAAGCUAAGACUACAAAAUGUGUGUUUUUGGGAUAUGCAUCCAAAUUCAAGGGCUUCAUUUGUUUUGCAGUUUCUACACAUAAAUUCUUUGUGUCUAGACAUGUGGUAUUUAGUGAACAUGAGUUUCCUUAUAAUGACUUGUUGUCCCGAGCCACCACACCACAAUCUCCUACUUCUGUUCACAUUACUGACCUGUCAUCUCUUCCUGUCGUCCCCUCACAGCCUAUAGUCACUAUACCCUCCUCUCAUACUCCUAUUUCUCCUGAGUCUCCAUUACAUUCCCCUUCUGCUCCCGGGUCUUCAUCCUUCUCACCAACCACGUCUCAGUUUCUUGACCCACCACCCUCUCAUCAGUCCAUUACUGGUGCAGUUUCACCCACUGAUCACAACCCUGUGGUACUUGAACAUAGUCCUGUUACACUACAAGUGGUUCCUUCCAUUCCCUCCUUGAAUAUACACCCUAUGCAGACUAGGAGUAAGAGUGGUAUCAGCAAAAAGAAGGUUCUUUUGUCUGCUCUUGCUACUUCCAUGGAUGCUGAUUUGUCUAUGUGUGAACCCAAAACAUACAAAUCUGCUCUCAAGAGUCCUGUGUGGUUUCAAGCAAUGAAGGAAGAGAUCAGUGCUUUGCAUACUCAAGGAACAUGGAGUUUAGUUCCUUUACCUGCAAACAAGAAUUUAGUAGGGUGUAAAUGGAUUUUCAAACUCAAGAGACAUUCAGAUGGUUCAAUUGCACGCCAUAAAGCUCGAUUGGUUGCCAAGGGAUUUAGUCAAGAACCUGGGCUGGAUUACAGUGAGACCUUUAGUCCAGUUGUUAAACCCACCACAGUGAGGAUUGUUUUAGCACUUGCUGCUCACUUUAAUUGGUCACUUCGGCAACUAGAUGUCAAGAAUGCGUUUCUCCAUGGCAUAUUACAGGAUGAGGUGUAUAUGGAUCAGCCACCUGGCUUUGAGGAUCCCCAGAAUCCUACUUUGGUAUGUCAAUUGCAUAAGUCCCUAUAUGGCUUAAAACAGGCCCCGAGGGCAUGGAAUGACAGGUUUACUUCUUUUCUGCCUAAGUUGGGCUUCCAUAACACCUAUUCUGAUUCCUCCUUAUUUGUGAAACCUGUUGGUGCCAAUAUUGUGAUCUUAUUGCUAUAUGUCGAUGAUAUUAUCAUCACAGGAAGUGCAAUCACUGAGAUUCAGCAGGUCAUUGAUGCUUUAACUUCUGAAUUUGACAUCAAGGACUUAGGUCCUCUUCACUACUUCCUUGGCAUUCAGAUUUCCAAGACUGCCAAGGGGUUAUUUUUGUCCCAACAGAAAUAUGUACAGGAUCUCCUUGUCAAAACAGAAAUGCUUGACUCCAAGCCUUGUGACACACCCUGCUUACCUUCUACCAGGUUACUCAAGGAUGAUGGUGACCCUUAUCCUAAUCCUACUUUAUAUAGGAGUGUGGUGGGUGCUCUUCAAUAUCUAACGUUCACACGCCCUGAUAUAGCUUUCUCUGUGCAUCAAGUCUGUCAGUUUAUGCAAUAUCCUAUGGUCUCUCAUUUCACUGCAGUUAAAAGGAUCCUUCGGUAUUUGAAGGGCACUAUGUCCUGUGGCAUUACCUAUUCUCAAGGGGACUUGGCACUAUCUGCAUUUAGUGAUGCCGAUUGGGCUGGAGAUCCCAAUGAUCGGCGAUCUACAACAGGGUCUGUGGUGUUCCUCGGGCAUAAUCCUAUCUCAUGGUCCUCUAAGAAACAGCAGACAGUGUCCCGAUCUUCGACUGAGGCAGAGUAUCGUGCUUUAUCCUCCACUGCAGCAGAACUUGAUUGGAUUCAACAAAUCCUUGCUUUUCUGCAUUUUCCGAUGUCUGCUCCUCCUGUUUUAUACUGUGACAACCUUUCUGCUAUAGCCUUGUCUUUCAAUCCUGUCCAACAUCAACGGACCAAACACAUUGAAAUUGAUGUGCAUUUUGUUCGAGAGCGGGUUUCUCAGAACAAGCUUGUGGUGCAGUUUGUGUCCUCCAAGGAGCAGUUGCUGAUAUCUUGACCAAAGGCCUCAGUUCUUCAUUGUUCCUUUUUCAUUGUAACAAUCUCAUGUUAGGAUCAUCCAAACAUGAGCUUGAGGGAGGAUGAUAGACAUAUAUUGUGUGGCUGAGAUAUUGCCACUUGUAUGCAGAUUAGAGAGUUAGUUAGAAAGUUAGUUAGGUAGUUUGUUUAGAAUAUUGAAAAGGGUAUAAAUACUGAUGUAUGUGGGAUUGCUUAGUAAGUAAGAAAAGUAAUAUACUGGAAGUGUUUGGUUUCUACUUCUCUCUCUAAAUUGCUUGAAUCUCUUCUUCUUCUCACUAUAUUUAUGUAGUUUAAUAAUCAUGUCCCAAAAACAAUGAAUUUUGGAUCAUCUCCUAUGAUUACCACAUUAAUUAAUGAUCGUUUUCUGCUAAUAAAUUUCAACAUCUACAUGUUUAGUUCAUGCAUUUUAAAUAUGUUACGUUGUUUUAUAUGAACAGAUUAGAGAUUAAUUGAAUUAUAAAUAAUGUAAUUUGAUUAGAUUAAUUUGUUACCACUAACUUUGUAUUUUCUUUGUUUAAUUUGUUUCAAAUCCUUUAGCCUUCCUUGAAAAAUUGUUGAAUUGGCAAAAAGAGAAUCAUCCAGUACCUGUAAAAACCUCUGCGGAAUCGAAAGAUGUUGAAGUUACUAGAUGCAGUACCUUGAAAAAUUGCAUGGAAACGGAGAUCUCUGCAUUCGUAGACGAUAAUGACAAAGGUACAUUCGGCCUCAUCGACUCAUGUCUUAUUAGAUUUUCGACGCAAUGUGAUAGUUCGUUGUAAAAUUACCGCACUUGGAAAAUUUUAUGUCUGUUAUCUGAAUCGACUUUGCCUGAAUUAGUACAUGAAGUUGUAUCUCACUGUUAUGUUUUAUGUUCAUGUUUCGACAUGAUUAGAGUUUUCUAAUCACAUGGCUCAAGACACUCUGAAAACCAAACUGAAGUCCUCGGGUAAGUCACCACAUCUAUUAAGGAGUUCAACGUUAAUGAAAUUCACGGCGAGUCAGUUGGCCAAGCAAAAUCAGCACCGAGAGGUUCACUCCAAUCGGUUAUUAAGGAGGUGCUGUUAUUUUUCUCUGAUGUUUCUGUUGUCAUUAAUGUAUGUUUUGUUCUAAUUGUUUGGUGGUCUAGUUUUCUAACUUGUCCCAUUUUCCGACUCUUGAUUACAGAGUUGCGAAAAAGCUCGAGAAACUCGAUGAGAAAUCACAGAAUUCUCCGCCACCUACGAUGGGCUGCGAAAAUUCGAAGCAAUGUAGCAUAGCACUUUGCAAAUUCGGUAGUGCUAUCACACGUGCAUUCUUACUUCUCACUAACCCCUCUCAAUUUUUCGGCCAUUGGAAAAAUAAGUGUGUAAAUAACACUAUCCUACAAAUUACGCAACCGAAACUAUAACAGAAGAGCGAUUAUAACGUAUUAAAGUACCAUCUCACUAAAUUAUCCAACAAUGUUUCAGAGAUUAGGAACAAUCAUACUACUUUCAGCUCAGUCAUUCCAUCAAACGGCUGGUUCGCUGCAAUUCCACUUAUGCUCAAAUCACUACCGUCCGUUCCUACCAUCGAUUCCAUCAAAUUCUCCGAAACCCAUUUCUCAAUCAAAUCCAAACACAGCUGCAACCACACCCAGAAAAUUAAAAAGUCGAACUUUACAAAACUCCACUCCGAAAACAUAAAUUACACAAAACCCAACAAAAUCUCACCCUGUUCUCGGACAAUCCGACUUGAAUAACCCCAUCCGGAUUAUCCACCCUCUCGUACGGGUCCUCCGAAGCCCUAUCCAACCCGAUAUAGUACGGCGAGUCAUUGGGCUUCGCAAUCCAGCUCGCCCGGGAGGACAUCCGGACCCGGCCCAUGGACCCGCGGGUGGACAAGCUGGACCGCGACAGCGUUCUGGGGAGCUCCGCCAGGUUGGAGGAGGACUGGGAGGGGGAAGGUGGAUCGGGUUUGGAGGGUCGCCGUCGUUUUAGGUAGAGCUGGAGGCAGUAAUAGAGAGCACAUGGGAUUAGAGAGGCGAGGAUGAGGCCGCCUCUGCCUUGGACGACGCCUUGGAGUGGCACAAUCAGUCUCAUCGCGGUGACUCCGGUGGGCUUGUUUCGGGUUGGGUCGGAGUCGGGUUGGCCGGUCCAGGUCUCGAGCUGCAGUGGGAGGGUUUCGGGUUGGCCGUUGGUUGGCGUGGAGGGAUUGAGUGAGAUUCGAGAGCCCUGCGAGGGAAGUGUGUGUUUUGCAGUUUCGCUACCAGAAACUUUUGGUCUGGUUAUGAUUGGCACCUGCCAGUUUCCAUCUUUGCAUCUUUUGUUGGUGGCGUGCAAACACCAUCGUCGUAUAAUAACAAAAAAACGAUUUCAUUCUUUUUGGGGCUAAAGAUGUAAUUUUGAAUCAAAUGCUUUUCUUAUCAUAUUUUUUUAUACCGUAACCGUUAUCUAAUAAAGAUAAGAUACAUAUGUGUGUAGACCUUACUUUUAUUAGAGAAAUUGAGAAUUUUUACUGUGCUCAAAACAAUAGUUGUACCAUAUGUCCUGGUGCAAAUACUAAAUAUUAUUCUGUGUUUCGAGCACAUUAAAAAAUCUCUCGGAUCACAUUGUGUUUGGACCUGAUUUUACACAUCGGCCUAAGCAAUCGAGGCCGUUGAGUAAGCAUGGUUCUCAACCGUUGGAUAAGAAAGUUUAGAUAUUAUUGUUAAGAGAUAAUAUUAUGAUUUUUAAUCAUAAUAAUUAUUUUUUUAAUAAGUUAUCUCGGUUUUUAUGCAAAAUAAAUGGGAUGGAGGCAAGUAGAGUUGUGAUGGGGACGUGAGCUUUGAAUCAGGUUGGUUUGUUUUGCUGGACAUGCAUGCAUGGGAUGUAAAGAUAAUGAAGUGAUAGGGGAUAAAUCCAAACAUGCCAAAACGUGUAAUUUGCAAAAGAAUUGUGCAAUAUGGAGAUUCUAUCCUAAUGCAUGGUUUUUUGGGAUUGGUUUUGUGCACGUGGCAUGCGACAAUGGAGAUGAUGGUUUUGCAUGGUGAUGGCAAUAUGGGUUUAAAGGUUUCUCAUGUUUUUUAAUAAGAAGCCUAGGUGGGUUAGAUCUCUAGUGAGAUGUGAUAAAGCCUAGGUAGGCUUUAUUUAUCUGAAGGAUAUGUGCGGCGUAUUUGAUACGGGAUCAGGGUUUAUCUGAAGGAUAUGCGCAGCGUAUUUGAUACGGGAUCAAGGUCAAUUCCACAAAAUAGAGUUGCAGUUGGACUCUACAAAAUUAUUUGGCCGCGUCACACAACAUUUGCUCCUAUAAAUAUAGAGGUAGUGGCAACGGAAGAAGGACCCCUGCAAAUCAAUACAAAAUUGCCCUGCGCAAAUUCUCACAACUUGUGAUUUUUCUUUUCCCUUUUUUCGCUGACACAUCUUCCGUUGGCAUCAACAGCACUGUGGAAGCAACCGGUGAUAUCUUAAGUCGGCAUAGAUAGCUCUGUCACCGUAGAAUCAGUCGGUCUCGCAAUACUUUCCGUUGGCAUCAACAGCACUGCGGCGAGAACGACCGAUUACCUAUCCAAGUCUCGGUCGAGAAGGAUUUCUGAAUCCUUAUUGGUCGAGGUCAUCUCAUCAGCCUUCUCGGCGAAGUGAGGUGUUACGAGUUAUUACAUUCGGCACAUUGAGGGCCGAAUUUGAUAUUGAACUUCGUGAGAAUAGUAACCUUGUCUUCAGGUUCGAGAGCCCAAGAGGCCGAGACGUGUUCCUUUCUUGGCCGCAAUCGCAAGACGCAGAAGUCAGUAGCGCGACCCAACGCAACAUCAACAAAUUUACUCCUCGGCCGAGCUCGGCCGACGAGUUGGCACGCCCCGCAUUCACCGAAGGACGUAGUUAGCUUAUUAAUUACUCGGCCUGCGCGCCACGUAGGCUUGGUAGUUUUUAGGGUCAACAUUUUGGCACGCCCAGUGGGACCCAGUGCUAAACUACGAAGUUCACAUGAUCUAUCUCGAUCCGGCUUCAAGGGAUGAGUGUUAUCGCCUAUUAAAGGAGCAAAACAACUUCUCGAGAGUUUGAGAAGAAUUUCUGAAAGGCAAGAGGCCGGGGGGCAAAUCUCCACUCCGGCCACAACCAAUAUUCAGCCUAAGAAAAGUGAUAAUUUGGCCGAAGAACAAAGGCCACUUGUUGUUUCGGUAGAGACUGAAAAUAUAGUAGGCCUAGAAGAAAAAAUUCAAGUCCCUAAGCUAUAUACAAAAAUUGACUUGGAAAAAGAUUCGUCAAAAGAACGCUCCAGUGACGAACGAGGCCGAGAUAUUGGCCUAGCCCGAGAAACUACGCCAAUUGAUAUGAUUAUUGGCAAUAAAGCCGAUAUGGAGAAAUCCUGUUCGGCUAAGUUAUUUGAAUUAAAAGCCGAAAUUAUGCCUGGGGGGCAUAAUAAUUGUUCAGCGCAUUCGGCGGCCGAUAAAAAAUCUUUCGUCAAGUCAAACAUAUUUGGAGAUAGUAUUUUAUUCGGCCUUGCAAAAAUUCAAAGUGAAAGUUUUGAUACAAAAAGCCUUCGGCUUGGAAUAAAACAUCGUUGGCCUCCUCCAUUUAUAGUAGGGCCACUUUUGUUUUCUUUUGCUACAAAAUAAGAAUAAAUUAUUUUCUUAACCAUUCGGCUUUUUAGGCCGAUGCUUAAGAAAAUAAAGGGGGCAAUAAGAUGGUGCGGACUUAGAAAAACAAGAAAAAACAAGAUGGUGUACUCGGCAGACAAUUUUGGUCAAAUAAUGGUGUACUCGGCAGACAGUUUUGGUCGAAUGAAUUUGCGAGAGCAUGCAUGACAAUUGCUCGGCAGACAGUUUUGGUCAAAUGAAUUUAUGGGAGCAUGCAUGGUUGCGAAGCUUGCUCAAUUCAGUUUCGAUGUGCGGUUUAAUAUAUAUAUGUGUGUGUCAGAAUGACCCAUCACAUGAAACAGAAAGAGAGACGCAUACGGAAAAGACAAAGGAAAAUUCAUGAAGUUAUGGUAGGCUUCCACAUGGGCUAACCUUUUCGUUUGGUGAUGUAGUGAUCUGUGAAUUCCUAACAGCAUUAUUUGGCCGAAUACAAAUCUUUGGCCGAAUAAAACAUAGUUCGGCCGAAUAUAAUGGGUUAUAUAUAUAUAUAUAUAUAUAUAUAUAUAUAUAUAUAUAUAUAUAUAUAUAGGCUCUACAGCCAGUUCUUCUCGGUCUCAGCCCUAUUUACUCUCGACCCCAGUAUUUUUGACCGAUACUAGUGUUUUCUCGACCCCGGCAGUUGAGAGUUGGAGUAGUUCACGACACUGGCAGAGGGAGGUUAUGACAUUGGCAGAACAUAGGUGAUUUUAAUGCCGAGAGACAAAAUUUGUUUCGGCAAUACGACGAAGUGUUGUUGGCUACGAGCAAUUAAUUUCCUUAACCAUUCGGCUUACGAGCCGAAGCUCACGGAAACUAGGGGGCAAUGUUUGGACCUGAUUUUACACAUCGGCCUAAGCAAUCGAGGCCGUUGAGUAAGCAUGGUUCUCAACCGUUGGAUAAGAAAGUUUAGAUAUUAUUGUUAAGAGAUAAUAUUAUGAUUUUUAAUCAUAAUAAUUAUUUUUUUAAUAAGUUAUCUCGGUUUUUUAUGCAAAAUAAAUGGGAUGGAGGCAAGUAGAGUUGUGAUGGGGACGUGAGCUUUGAAUCAGGUUGGUUUGUUUUGCUGGACAUGCAUGCAUGGGAUGUAAAGAUAAUGAAGUGAUAGGGGAUAAAUCCAAACAUGCCAAAACGUGUAAUUUGCAAAAGAAUUGUGCAAUAUGGAGAUUCUAUCCUAAUGCAUGGUUUUUUGGGAUUGGUUUUGUGCACGUGGCAUGCGACAAUGGAGAUGAUGGUUUUGCAUGGUGAUGGCAAUAUGGGUUUAAAGGCUUCUCAUGUUUUUUAAUAAGAAGCCUAGGUGGGUUAUAUCUCUAGUGAGAUGUGAUAAAGCCUAGGUAGGCUUUAUUUAUCUGAAGGAUAUGUGCGGCGUAUUUGAUACGGGAUCAGGGUUUAUCUGAAGGAUAUGCGCAGCGUAUUUGAUACGGGAUCAAGGUCAAUUCCACAAAAUAGAGUUGCAGUUGGACUCUACAAAAUUAUUUGGCCGCGUCACACAACAUUUGCUCCUAUAAAUACAGAGGUAGUGGCAACGGAAGAAGGACCCCUGCAAAUCAAUACAAAAUUGCCCUGCGCAAAUUCUCACAACUUGUGAUUUUUCUUUUCCCUUUUUUCGCUGACACAUCUUCCGUUGGCAUCAACAGCACUGUGGAAGCAACCGGUGAUAUCUUAAGUCGGCAUAGAUAGCUCUGUCACCGUAGAAUCAGUCGGUCUCGCAAUACCUUCCAUUGGCAUCAACAGCACUGCGGCGAGAACGACCGAUUACCUAUCCAAGUCUCGGUCGAGAAGGAUUUCUGAAUCCUUAUUGGUCGAGGUCAUCUCAUCAGCCUUCUCGGCGAAGUGAGGUGUUACGAGUUAUUACAUUCGGCACAUUGAGGGCCGAAUUUGAUAUUGAACUUCGUGAGAAUAGUAACCUUGUCUUCAGGUUCGAGAGCCCAAGAGGCCGAGACGUGUUCCUUUCUCGGCCGCAAUCGCAAGACGCAGAAGUCAGUAGCGCGACCCAACGCAACAUCAACAAAUUUACUCCUCGGCCGAGCUCGGCCGACGAGUUGGCACGCCCCGCAUUCACCGAAGGACGUAGUUAGCUUAUUAAUUACUCGGCCUGCGCGCCACGUAGGCUUGGUAGUUUUUAGAGUCAACACAUUGUUAAUAAGCUCUUCAAUUCAAGUUUUCCUUUCUCACGGUAUCGAUAAUAUACCAAUGAAUCCACUUAUAUAUAUAUAUAUGUAUGUAUCUUCCCAAGUAGAGGGUAUAUAUAUAUGUGUGUGUGUGUAUCCUCCCAAGUAUACCAGCACUCCUUAAAUUAUUGAACAUUGAAUCAGAACAAGUCUGCAAUAUGAUGGAUUACACAUGUCAAUGGUUGAGACAAACGCUGACUCAUCACAUCACUCUUGUGUGUGUGUAUCUUCCCAAGUAUACCAUCACUCCAUAAAUGAUUGAACAUUGAAUCAGAACAACUCUGCAAUAUGAUGGAUUACACAUGUCAAUGGUUGAGACAAACGCUGGCUCAUCACAUCACUUUCAUAGAUUAGAGGCAGAUUUUCUGCCCUCCUAUUUGGAUCCCCUUCUCAUUCCAUUCUAUUUUAUGUUGUCACGAUUAAACCACGUCAAUAUUUUAUAUUGAUUUUUUUUAUAGAGAUAAUAAAACAAAAAGCAAUAUGAAUAUAAAAUGUUGACGUAACUUAACUGUGAUCACACAAAUAGAAGGGAAUGAGAAGGGUACCCAAACAGGAGGGCAGGCAACCUGCCUCCUCAUAGAUUCGGUCUCCUUGCAAUCUAGAAAGCCAUCUGCAACCUAAGCAGAAAUAUUCCACCACAAUUUAUUCGUGCUCUCUGUUGAUAGGGCGUUGAUAGGGCGUUUAGAGCAGUUGCCAAGUUGGAUUUCAAAUCUUCAACACCUCGUCAUAUUGGGUAUUUGUUGGUCAAGGUUGAGAGAUUCCCCACUAAAAGCCCUUCAAAAUCUACCUAAUCUGUUGGAGCUAUUUUUGAAAAUCAAUGCAUAUGAUGGUGUGCAGCUGCAUCUUGAGGAAGGAGGAUUUCAGAAGCUGAGGCAUCUGGAACUCAAGGACAUGGAGGGACAAAAUUCAUUGAUCAUAGACAAUGGGGUUAUGCCUCUUCUCCAAGAGUUUCACAUUGGACCUUCCCCACAACUGAAGGAGGUGCCCUCUGGCAUCCACCAUCUCCGAAAGCUGAGAUAUCUUGUUUUCUUUGACAUGCCAAAGGAGUUUGAACGACAUAUGGAUCCAAAUAAUAGACUGCAACAUUGGAUUGUUGAACAUAUACAAGAUGUCCGCUUUAGUUACAAGUUCGGACCAAGAUGGGGGUGUAUACGAAACUCACGCCCGACGUGAUUCCAACUUUUCUUUUUGGUAGAAGAUUCCAACUUGUGAAACCAAGCAUGGGAAUGGAAUGGUCUCUUUUUGUACAGUUUUUGGUUAGAGAGGUUUAGGGGUUGUUAAGAGUUGGUUGUUAGCUCUGGUAUCCUAGUUUCUCUUGCAGGUUGACUGGGAGUGGCUCUUUCUCUUCUGUUUUCUUUGUGUCGUCGAGUCUAGUGAUAUUUCUAGCAUUUUCCUUAUAAACUGUUUUUUUUAUUUAUAAAAAUUGAAAAAUAAAAAGGUAUCUUCUUCUCAAAUUCAGAAUGUUCAAGUGACCUAAUAAAAUUUCAUUGAACUUUAGGCGAAUGAAUCAAGUUUUUACUAGAGAUAAGUGUUAAUCUACAAUGGCUAUUUAUUCAAAAAGUUUUUUAGUAGUUUAAAAUCAUCAAACUAACUUUUUUUUUUGAAUGUGUUAAAAUUGGUUACCUGCAGAUAAUGAGUUCUUAACAUGUGAUUCAAUACCGACCCAAUUAGUUAAUGUGUAGAUUUGAAAUCUAUUAUUUUCGUACCAUUUCGAAUCGAGUUAACAGAUCGUAUAAGAAAUUGUCAGAUCUAACUUAAAUUUGAAAGGCUUGAUGACCGUUGGCAGGCCUACCAAAUAUAAAAUGGUUGUUGUUUGUUUGUUAAUUUAUAAAAACUUAAAAAGAGAGUUGGGUAGGUAUCGUAAUGACGCAAAGCCAGAGGCAACCACCUCUCUAAUUCGAGUUUUCCUUUCUCACUGUACCAACACGAGCAAAUUAAUCCCCUCAUAUAUCAUCGCAACUCCACGGUAUAUAAUAUAGCAACACUCCUUAAAUUAUUGAAAAUUGAAUCAGAACAAGUCCGCAAUAUGAUAUGAUGGAUUACCAAAGUCAAUGGAUGAACCAAACGCUGCCUUAUCACAUCGCUUUCAUAUUUUCAAUCUCCUUGCAAUCCAGAAAGUCCUCUGUAACCUAACCAGAAAUAUUCCACACGGAAGUAUUCAUAUAGAGAUUUUUCUCCAUCAAUUAUAGAUACUGUCUGCCAGAAAAGGCAGGAUACAAAAUGGCAGAAUCAGUUGUAUGCUUUGUGAUCGAUAAGUUAAUUUCACUACUCGUCACCACAGAAGCGAAACUUUCAAGAGACGUGCGUGCUGAAGUUGGUUUUCUCAGAGAUGAACUUGAAAGCAUCCGAUCAUUCCUCAAGGAUGCAGACGCUAAAGCAGCAGCAGCAGCAGCAGAAGGAGACAUGGUGACUGACAGUGCCAAAACUUGGGUCAAACAAGUAAGGGAAGCAGCUUUUUACAUUGAAGAUGUCAUCGAUGAGUAUUUGCUUCGUGUCACAAGGCACCAUCAAGACCGCGGAUUCGUUCGCUUUGUCCACAAAGUUGUUUGGUUUCUGAAGAAAAUGAAACCACAGGAUGAGAUAGCCUCAAAAAUAGAGGGCAUGAGAGCAUUGGUUAGUGAAAUCAAGGCUAGACAUGAAAGAUAUGGGCUUAGUUCAAUUGAUCAGCAAGGUCAAAGCAGUGAAGAAAUUGUUGUUUCGUGGCAUGACCCUCGAGUGGCUUCCCUUUUCAUCGAGGAAGCUGAAGUUGUUGGUGUGGAAUCUGCCAGAGAUGAGCUGAUUAGUUGGUUGGUAGGAAAAGCAUCAAGAGGCGCAUACCGUGAAGUAAUAUCAGUGGUUGGCAUGGGAGGACUUGGUAAGACCACUCUCGCCAAGAAAGUCUAUGACAACCAAAGGGUGAUCGAACACUUCGAUUGCCAUGCUUGGAUUACAGUGUCUCAGACGUACAAGGUGGAGGAUCUUCUGAGGCAGAUGGUAAUGCAAUUCUACAAGGCCAGGAAGGAAUAUACCCCGGAGGGCAUUGACACAAUGGAAAAAGAAUCUUUAAUUAGAAAAUCAAGAGAAUUACUGCAGCAAAAGAGGUACGUGAUUGUGUUUGAUGAUGUAUGGAAAGUAGAAUUUUGGGAGGCGAUAGAACAUGCUUUGCUGGAUAAUAAAGGGGGAAGAAUAGUGAUCACCACGAGGAUUAAAGAUGUUGCUGAUUUUUGCAAAAAGUCUUCUUAUGUUCAUAUUUACCGUUUGCAACCUCUGCCUCCAAUCAAGGCAUGGGAAUUGUUUUGUAGAAGGGCAUUUCAAUACGAAUUGGAGGGGAACUGCCCUGCAGAUUUGAAAGAUUUGUCUCUUGAAUUCGUUAGAAAGUGCGAAGGAUUGCCUUUGGCAAUUGUUUCCAUAGGUGGUCUGCUGUCAACAAAAGUUAAAGUUGUGUCUGAAUGGCAGAAGUUAUACGAUAGCUUAAGUUCAGAGUUAGAAAGCAAUCCCCACCUUACAAGCCUCACAAGAAUUCUAUCCUUCAGCUAUCAUCAUCUACCGUAUCACCUCAAAUCAUGUGUCUUAUACUUUGGCAUCUUUCCCGAGGACUACUCAAUUAGUUGCAUAAGACUAGCUCGGUUGUGGAUCGCUGAAGGCUUUGUGAAACCGAAGAGGGGCAAGACACUAGAAGAGGUUGCAGAGGAAUACUUGACUGAACUGAUACAUAGAAGCCUGGUGCAAGUGUCACAGGUUUGGAUCGAUGGGAAAGCUAAAAGCUGUCGAGUCCAUGAUCUGAUGCGCGAAGUGCUCCUUAGAAAAGCGGUGGAUUCAAAUUUCUGUCAUGUGUUAUCAGAAAAUGAGUCAACAAUAAAGCCAAUAACUCGACGCCUCUUGAUAGACAGCAUGCCCUAUGAUGCCUUGGGAAUAAUUGAACAAUCUCGCAUUCGUUCUUUAUUUACUUUCAACCAAGAACAAUGGCCCGAGUCUUUUCUCAGUACACUGAGUGGAAACUUUAAACUUAUGAAAAUAUUGGAUUUUGGAGAUGCUCCCCUGAAUCAUCUUCCGAAGUAUGUGGGAGAUUUGCAUCUCUUGAAGUACUUAAGCCUAAGGAAUACAAAGGUGAAGUUGCUUCCAGAGUCCAUAUGUAAUCUGCAAAACUUAGAAACACUGGAUUUAAAACAGUCUCUGGUAUAUGAAAUACCAGCCAAGAUCAAUAAGCUUCUAAGGUUGCGACAUCUUUUGGCCCAUUAUACUGACUCCAGCUCAAGGUUCAGGAUGAUCAGUAACGAACGAGGAGUGAAAAUACAUGAUGGUAUUGGAUGCUUACAAGCUUUACAACAGUUAUACCAUGUGGAAACAAAUCAUGGCGGAAUCAACCUAAUCAAAGCAUUGGAAAAGUUGAGGCAGCUGCGAAAGUUGGGCCUGAAAAACUUGAAACGUGAAUAUGGACGAGCUCUAUGUGCUUCGAUUGAAAAGAUGAACCACCUUGAAUCUCUAGAAGUAAGCACAAUAAGCGAAGAUGAAGUCCUUGACCUGCAAUCCAUUUCAACUCCACCCGAAUCUAUUCGGUUUCUCUACUUGAAGGGGCCUCUAGAGAAGUUGCCAAGUUGGAUUCCAAAGCUUCAACGACUUGUCAGGCUACGAAUUUUUUGGUCAAGGUUGACAGAUGCCCCACUGAAAGCUCUUCAAAACCUUCCUAAUUUGGUAGAGCUUGGGUUCUCAUUCAACGCAUAUGAUGGUGUGCAACUGCAUUUUGAGGGAGGCUUUAAGGAACUCAGGGUGUUAAAACUCAAGCACUUGCCCAGACUAAACUCAUUGAUCAUAGACAAUGGGGCUAUGCCUCUUCUCCGAGAGCUACAAAUUGGGCCUUCCCCACAACUGAAGGAGGUGCCCUCUGGCAUCCAGCACCUGAGAAAUCUAAGCUCUCUUAGAUUUGUUGACAUGCCAAAAGAGUUCCGACAACAUGGAUCCAAAUAAUGGCCAACAUUAUUGGAUUGUCGAACAUAUACAAGAUGUUCUUUUUAGUUACAAGUUGGGACAAAGAUGCGAUGUAUAUGAAACUCACGCCCUGCGUGAUUCCAACCUGUGAAAGCAUAUCUACAUGUGAGUUUUAAUCCCAGAACACCCCAUAUAACUCGCAAGGCUUAAAUGAAAUCGCCAAAUGUCAUUGUUGACACGAUCUGUGAUAUUCUUUAGUAUUAUCAACUGUUAUAGAUGUUUGCUUUGUAUGAAAACAAAAAAUAAAAACUUCAUUCAUGUUUGUGAGGAUUUGAUUGUGUUUGAGCAGGCAACAUUGAUUAUUUCUCACAACCCAGACAAGUGUUUGGCUAAUUAUUUCUCACACUAUCUAAUCAAAUGAAGGGCUAGGAGUUUCAGUUUGAGUGACGGUCCUAAAUCAUUUCUUUCGUUCCAGACAUGUUUCUGAAUUUGAAGCAUUAAACUUUUACUCAGCACACAAGCAUUGUGCGUAAGAUUUUUUUCAGUUGAAAGGCUUCACGGCAAGCCUACCACAGGUCUCCGAGGAUAAUCAUAGGAAACUUGCGAGGUUGAAUAUCAUUUGCAACCCAGCUAGCAGAAACAAAAGAGUCCCUUCUCCAGUACCAAGCUUAGCUAGAAGUCGAGGUUUUUGCCACAUGAAUUAAUUACGUAAAAUGAAACAAAUUAAAACUGAAUUAUGCUUGGUUAGUGAUGGAUGGCAGAUUCAAAUCAAAGAGAAGCAGUUAUAUAUGUUAAUGGAAGAUCAGAGCAAAACGCAUGGCUUAAACUUCAUUGUUUUACAUCUGCAACCGUAUCAGAAAGAACACAAAAGUAAGCAUACAUAAAGUGUGUUAAUACCUGAUUGAAUAAGUUAAUGAAAAAGUAGCAGAAGCAGUUGUAUUCUUUGUGAUUGAUAAGUCUCUACUCAUCUACUGUACAGAAGCAAAACUUCCAAGAGAUGUAUGAUAGAGAUUUUAACACAUGUUCAGGAAUUGGUAUAAACAAUUUACGAGUUUUUGAAUUAUUUAACUUAAUUAGCUCUAAGAACUAUGUUGGAGCAGUUAUGUUUUUAUUUAAUAUAUGUAUAUAUAUAUAUUUAUGAUUUGUUUUAUUAGAAACAUUAAAUAUAUAUAACUGUUAUUAGGAGUAAUUUUUAUUUGUAAAUAUAUUGGAGACAUUGUCAAUUAGGAGUAAUUUCCCUUCUUAAUUAUAUAGGAGACGUGAGGAAGUUUAUUACUUCAACAAAUUUGAUAUGCCUUCUCUAAAUAGAGUAGAAGAUCACGUCCACCUCCAUAUAUAAUCUAUCCGUUUUGAUUUUUACGUUUUGGUUUAUUCCGGAUUUCUAGUCCUUAAUUUAUAAAUCCUUCAACCUCUAUUUCUUUACUUUGUAUAUAAAUACAAGUCCUGAGUAUCGAUAAAAAAAAGAUAUAUAUAUAUAUAUAUAUAUAUAUAUAUAUAUAUAUAGAGAGAGAGAGAGAGAGAGAGAACUAUAAGCUGUUAAAUAAAUAAUUUUUGAAAUUAAGUUUUGAGAGCAACAUAUUGAAAGGGUGCAAGUUUGAAGGUUCUUCCAUUGUGCAAGGAAGAACCUUAUCAGAAGAAGGUUAUAGGCUGUUUUAUCCUGGGGACGACAUAGUGUUUGUGAACUGCUUGCACACUUUGGGCAGAGCUGCGAUAAAGAGAGCGACUUAGUCUGCGACUCAUCCUAAGAAUCAUUCAUCACUCAAGGCUUUUACAUUUUCCGGGUAACUUCAUUCAUUUCUAUUUCAGUUUUCAACAAACUACAUUAAUUUGACAAAACUAAAUUCUAUUGUACGUGACUUAAACAAAUAUAUCAAAUGAGAAUUGGCUUACAGAAAUAGUGAUUUAACUAAACAAAACAAGUAAAUGUAGAAACUUAAGAUAAUAGAAAUAAUUGAAGAAAAUUAGAUUGACAAGGCACUAGAGUUCGACCUUUACCAACAACACUCCUACGUAGCUCUUCCAAUUGCUUAAGUAAUCGAAAACACACAUGCUUUGAAGGUUGAGUUUUUCCUUAUGUAGUUUUACUUGUGACAUUCAAGCUAAAACGCAUACCACUACAUGCAAUUCAUCCAUGACAUUGAGAUUAAAUAUAAACAUGAGUGAUUUAUUAAUCUUGGUGAAAAUCCUUUUAAUAAACCAUGUAAUCCCUAAAAGUAUGAUAUUUACCUUAGGAGAAAUUACAAUCCUCAAUCACAAGAAGCAUAACCAAUUUUAACGUGACAUUCGUUCAAAAUUACAUCCGAUGACUGUUCUAAGCAUCCUAAUGGUGAUCAAGUAUCAAGGCACAUAUAUAGUUUAAUUUAAUGAUUGAAAAUAUCAAAGCAAACAUUUAAUAAUACUUAAGCAAUUAAAAGAGAAAUCUACGUAUUCAUGUUGAGGCUCAUGGCUUCACUCUAGUGAAAGAAAAUUAAUUAUACAUACUUAUCUAAAAACAUAAGAAAUUAUCCAUAAAAAAUCAAGGAAAGAAUACAACCUUUAGGCCAUCUCCAACCGAUGGCUGGCCAGAGGACUCGUUUAAGCCCUUUGGCCCUCCAAGAUUCUCCAAGAUAUUAAUAUUUUAAUGAACAGUACAAGGCCAUAUUUGCCUCCGUCUCCAACCGAGGACCAGAGGGCUCGUUUUAGCCCUUUCACAAAAAACCGUCUCCAACCGAGGGUCAAAGGGCUAUAGGGCCAAACAUAAUUUAUUAUUUAAAAACUACAACUUAAACGUUUUUAAAUGUUUUUAAAAAUGUUGUUUAAGUUUCAUGUUGUAUAAUUUUUAUGUUGCUUAAUGUUAUUUAAUGUUGUUUCAUGUUACUUAAUUUAAUUUAAUGUUGUAUAAUAACUUAGGAAGUUAUAGGAAAAAAAUAGAAUUUAAAAAAAAUAUGAAACAAAUUUUGUGAAAUAGAAGUUAUAGGAAAAAAAAAGAAUUUAAAAAAAAUAUGAAAUAAAUUUUGUGAAAUAGAAGUUAUAGGAGAAAAUAGAAGUUAUAUCAAAAAUUUUGUAAAUAAAAAAAAUAAUAAAACUGUAAAAUAAAAAAACAAAUGCAACAGCUAGCCGUUGCAUUUGAAUUUUUUCUUAAAAAAUCAUGUCGGUUAUAACCGACAGGAAUACAUGCUAUUAUUUAAUAUAAAUGUAUUACUGUCGGUUUAUUUAGUAUAAAUGUAUUACAUAACCGACAGUAAUACAUUUAUAUUAAAUAAAAGCAUGUAUUUCUGUCAGUUAUAACCGACAGAAAUAACAAAACAUUAAAAAAAAUAGCCAGCCCUCUCCGAUUCCGUAGGACCCUCCCAGAUUCCAAAGCCCUCUGGCCUAACCCUCAGUUGGAGACGGUUUUCAGGUUAUUUUCGGUCCUCUGGCCCUCUGAACCUUUUGUUGGAGAUGACCUUAUUUACAAGAAUUAUUCCUGCUGAGCUGCUUCCACCCUCCUCUCUCUGCCUUUGCUCUCUUCUUCUACUGUGCCUUCCGUCCGUCUCCCUGCUUCUCUUCUGUUUUUCCUCGUCUGUUUCGUGCCCUUCCUUCAACCAAAUGCAGCUAUCUGCUUUUUCCCGGCCACAAAGGCCCAGUGGAAGACAAGUCAAAUUUCACUUCGGUAGUGGGAUUGGCAAGGCAAAGCACAAAGUGCCCGUUCUUUUUCUUUUUUCUCCACUUGCCGUGUCCCAGCUUGGAAAAUUCCAAAAACGUUCGGUCAUUCCCAGUUGCCAAAGCAGGUUGGAGCUUUUGAACUCUUCUUCCGCUUUCUGCGCACACCCACUACCUCACAAUUACAACUUUAUUAGCCAAUCUAAUAUUAUAUCUUUAAUUGCUUACCAUGUCCUCUUCCAAUUGACAAGUGACACAAAGUUUCUAUGGAAAUUAAUAAAAAAUGUUUGAAAAUUUUGACUUUUAACGAAAAUAACACAAAUGUGUUGUAAGUGAAUAAUAUCCAAUAUUGACUUUUUAAAGUAAAAAGGAAAAUUUUGAAAUAGGUCCAGUUUUAUAGGCCUACUUUUAAAAUAGAUUCAAUUUUUAGUGACUUUUAACUUUUGAAAUAAGUCAAAUUUUUUAUUACUUUGAACCCAUAUCAAAAUACCUCAAGUAAAAAUGUGAUUUUCCAUUAAAAUGAACCGUACCAAAAGUGUUUUGUUGAAACUUACUUCUUAUUUUUAGAACUCAUAGAGGAGGAAAAGGAGAGAGAGUGGCGGAAAGAAAAUGUGGAAAUAAUUUCCACAAUUAGUUUUCUAUGUUUGCACACUUCCAAUAAUUUUCAUCACUCAAUUCUCACAUCAAGGGAAACAUAAUCAUGAUCACAAACAUAAUCAUGAAGUUUCCUCAUCAUUUUAUUUAUUUAUUUAGCCGAAAGCUGGUCCUAGAAACACAACAUGGCAAAAAUAUCACAAAUACUUAAAACUUUCAACUAAACUAAACAAGAAAACAAAAAUAAAAAGGCGAAAUAUAUAGAAAAAAUAUUGGUUCAUCAACAUACGCACUAAAGUUGCUUUCAUCUAUAAAAUCUAAGAGCUCUUAGAUAUAUUAACAUGCCGAAACAAUUCAUCGAGAUGUGAAUCCGAAAAAUGGCCAGUGUUAUUGGACUGUUGAGCUUAUACGAACGACAUGUUAUUUGUAUUUACAAGCGUGGGACGAGAUGCUGCACACACGAGAUUCACAACCUGCAUGAUUCCAGCUUGUGAAGGCGCACAGGCGAGUCCUACUUAACACCAGAAUACCCUGCACCCUGCACUUCAGGAUGCCGCAGUGAAAUGAUCAAAUUUCAUUUUUUUUCCCUAGCUGCCAUCACUUUAUUCUUCUAGGAGAUGCGACGAUUGGUGAGGACUUAUGUGGAACAGAUUUAUUGUAAACGUGGCAUCCCAAUUUAAUAAUAUAAUGCCACAUGACAUUGUCUUAUUGAACUGAGGCGCAACAGUGAUGGUGAACUCAUUUCAUGUAAGUUGCUAUUAUUGUUGGGUGUCCUUACGCAAAUUUUUCAAGACAAGGUGGAUUUUUAACCAAAGAUAGUUGUGUGGAAGCAUGAAAUAUGAAACCAAUAAGCUAAUACAACAAAAUAUGACAAGACAAAUAAUCCAAAUUAACACAAGGAUUUAUACUGGUUCGACGUAAGCCUACGUCCAGUUCAAAGACGGCGAGAAAAUUCGAUUAAUUGUUAGAUCCCAUAUCGCUGUGAGGAGUGGAUCCUUUAUGCCUUAUAUGUACAUGCCCACCUCUAUAUAGCACGAAAUCUUUUGGGAGCUCACUGACUUCGGGUUCCGUAGGAACUCCGAAGUUAAGCGAGAAAGGGGCUAUAGUAUUCCCAGGAUGGGUGACCUACUGGAAGUUCUACUCGCGUAAGUUCUCAUAAACAAAACCGUAAGGGCGUGAUCGAAGCCCAAAAUGAACAAUAUCGUACUACGGCGGAAUCGAGCUCGGGAUGUGAUGGAGCCCAGGUCGAGGUCACUAAUAGUCAAAAUGAAAAUUACAAAUUUAGUUCAACUCUCAAAUCCCAAAAUCCACAUACACCCAAUAACUCUCAUUCAUACAAAGAACAAAUGGAGAAUAUGGAAACACAUACCUAAUCCCUUCUCCCAAAAGCCAGAAAAAUUGUAGCACCAAUAUCUUGGAUUGAUUGAUUACAAACAAAGGGAGUUACAAACAAAAGGGAGAGUGCAACAGCUCUUCUUCAAAUGGGAGAGCCGAAUGCUCUCUCCUCUACUCACCUUCUUUCUGCUGCUUCCACCCUCACACUCUACCGCUCUCCUCUACUUAUCUCUCUGCAAGAUCCAGCAAGGAAGAUAAAGAGCACAACGAUGAAAGCAACAUUUUCUUCUCCGCCAACCAAAAAUGCCGAAAGAAAAAAAGGGAGGCAGAUUCUCUGCCCUCCCACUUCCCAUGCCCUCUUGUUUGUGUGGUCACGGUUAAGCAACGUCAAUAUUUUAUAUUACUAUUUCUUUUUGUCUUAUUAUCUCUAUAAAAAAAAUAAUAUAAAAUGUUGACGUGCCUUAACCGUGACCACACAAAAUAGAAGGGCACGGGAAGUGGGAGGGCAGAGAAUCUGCCUCCGAAAAAAAAAUCAACCUUUUCUUUUUUGUUCUACAAACAUCAUCAUUAUGCCUCCUCAUUAUGUUCCCACAUCAUUAUAUCCCCUUUUUCUUAUUCUAUUUUUCUUGCUUUCGGCUUCUUUAACAAAUGCAGCAAUUGCUGCCAAUUAAAACAAACGAAAACUAAUGAAAAUAAUUUGAAAAUUUUGAGUUUUAACGAAAAUAACAAAAUAAAAAGUAAAGUAAAUGGUACUAGAAUUAACCUUUUAAUGUAAAAAUGUAAUUUUUCGUUAACGUAAACAGUAUCGGAAGUUUUUUUGUUAAAAUUCUCAAACAAAGGAAAACCACCCGUGUCUUUCACAUGGACCAAAUAAACAAAACAACUUAAUGGGCAAUUGGGUCAAUAAGUGGCCCACCACAAUUUGGCACUAGAUUCUCACCUUCGACAAAGUGAAAACAAAACCAUUGGAAAAGCAAUAGCCCAUGUCUCAAGUUAAUAAGAAAGGUAUCUAUUUGCUUCAAUGUUUCUGACUCUCUUGAUACCAAAGCCAUCUGCUUCCCAUCGUUCAUAUUUCUUCCUGAUUCUUGCAUCCUCUUCUUUUUCAGAUUUCGUUUCUCUACCUUUGCAUCUCAAUUUUCUCUGUUUUUCUAAACAACUGCUUGCUCACCCAAACCGAAAGGCACAUUGCUUGGGGUUGUGGGGUUGCACAUAUUAUAUGGCAGAACAGAUUGUAUGCUUUGUGAUCGACAAGUUGAUUCAACUAUUCAUCACUACAGAAGCAAACCUUUCGAGAAAUGCACGUAUUGAAGUUGGUUUCAUCAAAGAUGAACUCGAGAGCAUCCGAUCAUUCCUCAAGGAAGCAGAUGCUAAGGCUGCAGCAGCAGAUGGAGAGACUAUGAACGACGGUGUUAAAACUUGGGUCAAUCAAGUAAGAGAAGCAGCCUUUUACAUUGAAGAUGUCAUCGAUGAAUAUUUGCUCCACAUCAUACAGCAUCAUCAACACCAUGGAUUCAUUCGUUUUUUCCAUAACAUAAUCCGGUUGGUUCAAAAAAUGAGAUCACAGGAUGGGAUAGUUUCGAAAGUUGACGGUAUAAAAAAAUUGGUUCGUGAAAUCAAGGAUAGAAGUGAAAGAUAUGGAUUCAAAUCUAUUGAUCAGCAAGGGCAGAGCAGUGUAGAAAAGACUCUACCGUCGAACGACCCUCGAGUGGCUUCCCUUUUCAUUGAGGAAGCUGAAAUUGUGGGGAUUGAAUCUGCCAGAGAUGAGCUAACUCGUUUGUUGGUAGAAGGAGCGCCAAGACGUGAAGUGAUAUCAGUGGUUGGCAUGGGAGGACUUGGGAAAACCACUCUUGCCAAGAAAGUGUAUGACCAGCCGAAGGUGAUGGCACACUUUGAUUGCUAUGCUUGGAUUACAGUGUCCCAGUCGUACAGGGUUGAGGAUCUUCUGAGGACGGUAAUAAAAAAGUUCUACAGUUCAAGGAAGGAGCGUUUCCCAGAGGAAAUUGACACAAUGGAUGAGGAGUCCCUGAUUAGCACAUCUAGAGAGUAUUUGCAGCAAAAGAGGUACAUUGUUGUGUUUGAUGAUGUGUGGAAAGUAGAUUUUUGGGGGGCAAUAGAACAUGCUUUACCCGAUAGUAAAGGCGGACGAAUAAUUAUCACUACACGGAUUCAAGAUGUUGCCAACUUUUGCAAAAGAUCUUGUUUUGUUCAUGUUCAUCACUUGCAGCAUCUGCCUCCAAACAAGGCAUGGGAAUUGUUUGUAGGAAGGCAUUUCAGUUUGAAUUGGAGGGAAAGUGUCCUGAAGAGUUGGAAGAGUUGUCUCUUAACAUCGUCAAAAGAUGCGAAGGACUACCUUUGGCAAUUGUUUCCGUAGGUGGUCUGCUGUCAACCAAAGCUAAAGUUGUGUCUGAAUGGCAGAAGUUAUACAAUAGCUUAAGUUCAGAGUUAGAAAGAAAUCCCCACCUUACAAGCCUCACAAGAAUCCUAUCCCUCAGCUAUCACCAUCUACCGUAUUACCUCAAAUCGUGUGUAUUAUACUUUGGCAUCUUUCCCGAGGAUUACUCAGUUAAUUGCAUAAGAUUAGUUCGGUUGUGGAUCGCUGAAGG